rnacentral:lncRNA from 1 species
UUUCUUCAGUGCUUGCCACAGACCCUUUUUACAGUUCUGCCAGCGUCAGCUGGAAUGCCUUCUAAUGUGAGUGUGGUGGUUAGUUCCCGCUUUGUUCUCACAAUCAAAAUAUUUACAGAUAUGAAUGCCAUCGACCCUAUUUGCAGUUGGAGAGCUUUAUAUGGAGAACAAGGUCAAUACCUGUUAUCUGUCAAGCCUGAUACUCCUGAGAACAAUGCAUCUACAGUCACCUGUACCUUGAGUGUGGAGAAAAACCCUGUCAAUGGUUACAUCCCUUUGCUGAUUGCUUUCGCCGUCUUGAUCGCUGGGACCCUUCUCUACUGUCUAUUAUCCUACAUAUUCAAGUAAGUUAGUGUAUGUAUUUCAUGUGUUACCCAACUCUCCCUCUUUAUUAUUGUGCUAAGUAA